CGGACGGGUGAGUAAUGUCUGGGAAACUGCCUGAUGGAGGGGGAUAACUACUGGAAACGGUAGCUAAUACCGCAUAACGUCGCAAGACCAAAGAGGGGGGCCUUCGGGCCUCUUGCCAUCGGAUGUGCCCAGAUGGGAUUAGCUAGUAGGUGGGGUAAUGGCUCACCUAGGCGACGAUCCCUAGCUGGUCUGAGAGGAUGACCAGCCACACUGGAACUGAGACACGGUCCAG
rnacentral:rRNA from 1 species